GAUGAACGCUGACAGAAUGCUUAACACAUGCAAGUCCACUUGAAUUUGGGUUUUUUAACUUAGAUUUGGGUGGCGGACGGGUGAGUAACGCGUAAAGAACUUGCCUCACAGCUAGGGACAACAUUUGGAAACGAAUGCUAAUACCUGAUAUUAUGAUUAUAAGGCAUCUUAGAAUUAUGAAAGCUAUAUGCGCUGUGAGAGAGCUUUGCGUCCCAUUAGCUAGUUGGAGAGGUAACGGCUCACCAAGGCGAUGAUGGGUAGCCGGCCUGAGAGGGUGAACGGCCACAAGGGGACUGAGACACGGCCCUUACUCCUACGGGAGGCAGCAGUGGGGAAUAUUGGACAAUGGACCAAGAGUCUGAUCCAGCAAUUCUGUGUGCACGAUGACGUUUUUCGGAAUGUAAAGUGCUUUCAGUUGGGAAGAAAAAAAUGACGGUACCAACAGAAGAAGUGACGGCUAAAUACGUG
rnacentral:rRNA from 1 species